rnacentral:rRNA from 1 species
UACGUAGGGUGCGAGCGUUGUCCGGAAUUAUUGGGCGUAAAGAGCUCGUAGGCGGUUUGUCACGUCGGAUGUGAAAUCCCGGGGCUUAACUCCGGGCCUGCAUUCGAUACGGGCUGACUAGAGUUCGGCAGGGGAGACUGGAAUUCCUGGUGUAGCGGUGAAAUGCGCAGAUAUCAGGAGGAACACCGGUGGCGAAGGCGGGUCUCUGGGCCGAUACUGACGCUGAGGCACGAAAGCGUGGGGAGCAAACAGG